CAACCAAGAACUGUAACUAUUAUGAUAAGAGUAUUAGUUUGAACCAAUUCACCAAGAAUUGUUCUGAUGGAUGUUGUACUACCGGAACUAACGCCACCAUUUACAACGUAUGUUGCUACUCCUACGACUAUGAGGACGAAAACAGUCGUUUGGUCAAUAUCGCCAUAGGAAUAGCAGUAGGUGUAGUGGCGUGUGUUAUAUCUAUCAUAGUGGUGAUAGUUAUUAUUGCACGCUGUUGCUGUAAACGACUACCACAAACAAAGGGUCAUGUUAUUACAGCCCCAAACAUAACUGUGGUAUAUUCUAAUACUGUUCAUCCAAGAGUUGCGUAUCCUCCACAAGGAACUAAUAACCCGGCAUCUCCUCCAACUGGAUAUUCCUCUCCACCACCGCCUUAUGAUACAGGUACCUCCCCCGAAAAAGAUAACAAUGGCUUCCAAACACAUGUCAACAUAAAAUAAUUAACUUCUGUGAUAAUGAGUGGUUAUUAACUGUAUAUAAACAGAAAACCGUUUAUCGUAUUAACUGUAUAUAGACAGAUAAUGGUUUAUUAUAUUAACUGUAUAUAGACAGGUGGUGGUUUAUUAUAUUAACUGUAUAUAGACAGAGAAAGGUUUGUUAUAUCAAAUGUAUACAUGUUUAUUAUAUUAAUUGUAUGUAGACAGAUAAUGGUUUAUUAUAUUGACUGUAUAUAGCUAGA